rnacentral:rRNA from 1 species
UAGUCUGGGAUACCACUUGGAAACAAGGUGCUAAUACCGGAUAAGAAAGCGGAUCGCAUGAUCAGCUUUAAAAGGCGGCGUAAGCUGUCGCUAUGGGAUGGCCCCGCGGUGCAUUAGCUAGUUGGUAAGGUAAAGGCUUACCAAGGCGAUGAUGCAUAGCCGAGUUGAGAGACUGAUCGGCCACAUUGGGACUGAGACACGGCCCAAACUCCUACGGGAGGCAGCAGAA